UGACGAGUGGCGGACGGGUGAGUAAUGUCUGGGAAACUGCCUGAUGGAGGGGGAUAACUACUGGAAACGGUGGCUAAUACCGCAUAACGUCGCAAGACCAAAGAGGGGGACCUUCGGGCCUCUUGCCAUCAGAUGUGCCCAGAUGGGAUUAGCUUGUUGGUGAGGUAACGGCUCACCAAGGCGACGAUCCCUAGCUGGUCUGAGAGGAUGACCAGCCACACUGGAACUGAGACACGGUCCAGACUCCUACGGGAGGCAGCAGUGGGGAAUAUUGCACAAUGGGCGCAAGCCUGAUGCAGCCAUGCCGCGUGUAUGAAGAAGGCCUUCGGGUUGUAAAGUACUUUCAGCGGGGAGGAAGGUGUUGUGGUUAAUAACCACAGCAAUUGACGUUACCCGCAGAAGAAGCACCGGCUAACUCCGUGCCAGCAGCCGCGGUAAUACGGAGGGUGCAAGCGUUAAUCGGAAUUACUGGGCGUAAAGCGCACGCAGGCGGUCUGUCAAGUCGGAUGUGAAAUCCCCGGGCUCAACCUGGGAACUGCAUUCGAAACUGGCAGGCUUGAGUCUUGUAGAGGGGGGUAGAAUUCCAGGUGUAGCGGUGAAAUGCGUAGAGAUCUGGAGGAAUACCGGUGGCGAAGGCGGCCCCCUGGACAAAGACUGACGCUCAGGUGCGAAAGCGUGGGGAGCAAACAGGAUUAGAUACCCUGGUAGUCCACGCCGUAAACGAUGUCUACUUGGAGGUUGUGCCCUUGAGGCGUGGCUUCCGGAGCUAACGCGUUAAGUAGACCGCCUGGGGAGUACGGCCGCAAGGUUAAAACUCAAAUGAAUUGACGGGGGCCCGCACAAGCGGUGGAGCAUGUGGUUUAAUUCGAUGCAACGCGAAGAACCUUACCUGGUCUUGACAUCCACAGAACUUUCCAGAGAUGGAUUGGUGCCUUCGGGAACUGUGAGACAGGUGCUGCAUGGCUGUCGUCAGCUCGUGUUGUGAAAUGUUGGGUUAAGUCCCGCAACGAGCGCAACCCUUAUCCUUUGUUGCCAGCGGUUAGGCCGGGAACUCAAAGGAGACUGCCAGUGAUAAACUGGAGGAAGGUGGGGAUGACGUCAAGUCAUCAUGGCCCUUACGACCAGGGCUACACACGUGCUACAAUGGCGCAUACAAAGAGAAGCGACCUCGCGAGAGCAAGCGGACCUCAUAAAGUGCGUCGUAGUCCGGAUUGGAGUCUGCAACUCGACUCCAUGAAGUCGGAAUCGCUAGUAAUCGUGGAUCAGAAUGCCACGGUGAAUACGUUCCCGGGCCUUGUACACACCGCCCGUCACACCAUGGGAGUGGGUUGCAAAAGAAGUAGGUAGCUUAACCUUCGGGAGGGCGCUUACCACUUUGUGAUUCAUGACUGGGGUGAAGUCGUAACAAGGUAACCGUAGGGGAACCUGCGGUUGGAUCACCUCCUUACCUUAAAGAAGC
rnacentral:rRNA from 1 species